rnacentral:rRNA from 1 species
AUACGGAGGGUGCGAGCGUUGUUCGGAAUCACUGGGCGUAAAGCGCGUGUAGGCGGUUUGAUAAGUCGAGUGUGAAAGCCCAAGGCUCAACCUUGGAAGUGCACUCGAAACUGUCAGGCUUGAGUACGGGAGAGGGAAGUGGAAUUCCUGGUGUAGAGGUGAAAUUCGUAGAUAUCAGGAGGAACACCGGUGGCGAAGGCGGCUUCCUGGACCGAUACUGACGCUGAGACGCGAAAGCGU